UGCUGUCGAAGGGUUCCUAUGUGGGCUGGUUUUGAGCUCAAGACUUCAAACCUGUGUGCAAUUUUUCAGCAGUGAUGUUUCUGUGACUGCUCUCUUUCAAGUGGGACUGUCAGAAAUAAACAGGAAGUUGUCAAGGGAGUAUAAGAAAAUCAUCAUCAUCAUCAUCAUCAAGGGCACCUUGAUAUUUCUGGGACAAAUGAAUGAUGUUGUAGCUGCUACAAACGUUGCAGCAAGAAAACUCCAAGGCAGCAACUGA
rnacentral:lncRNA from 12 species